rnacentral:rRNA from 1 species
GAUGAACGCUGGCGGCGUGCCUAAUACAUGCAAGUCGAGCGAAUGGAUUAAGAGCUUGCUCUUAUGAAGUUAGCGGCGGGCGGGUGAGUAACACGUGGGUAACCUGCCCAUAAGACUGGGAUAACUCCGGGAAACCGGGGCUAAUACCGGAUAACAUUUUGAACCGCAUGGUUCGAAAUUGAAAGGCGGCUUCGGCUGUCACUUAUGGAUGGACCCGCGUCGCAUUAGCUAGUUGGUGAGGUAACGGCUCACCAAGGCAACGAUGCGUAGCCGACCUGGGGGGGUGAUCGGCCAAGCUGGGACUGAGACACGGCACAGGCUCCUACGGGAGGCAGCAGUAGGGAAUCUUCCGCAAUGGACGAAAGUCUGACGGAGCAACGCCGCGUGAGUGAUGAAGGCUUUCGGGUCGUAAAACUCUGUUGUUAGGGAAGAACAAGUGCUAGUUGAAUAAGCUGGCACCUUGACGGUACCUAACCAGAAAGCCACGGCUAACUACGUGCCAGCAGCCGCGGUAA